GAAGAGGCCACCAGAAGACCGGAGAGGGGAGGGGGCGGGAGGGGGGUGGGGCAGCCUUAGCCACCCACGGCCCGGAGCCUGGGAGGACCAGGAGCGACGCCGGGCUACCGGCCUCGUCACAACUUGCCCGGACCAGACACGCUUUAUCUUGCACCCUGGAAGAAGGAGCCCGCCUGCCUCUCCCUGCUCUGUUGCUCCUCGGCCUCCGCGAGCCCCGCCUCUGCGCCAGCAGCAAUCCCAGGAUCUGGAUCCCCCGUGAAUCCCCGUGUCUUGCAGCGCCCGGCUUUCGCCCAGGAGCGCGCAACUGGGGUGCUGGAAAUCCAGCGGUGAGCAACACACCUCUCCUGUUCCCGCUGAUCCAGCCAGCCCGGUGGAUGGAGCCCAGAAUCCACAAACCUGCCAGGAAAGAAAAAAAUUUUCCUGAUGGUUGGUCCAAGCAGGGCCUCCCUGGUGGAUUGAGGAAUGCCUGGCUUUUCCUCAGCUCCUUGAUCCCGGAAGUAACCACAGGCAGCAUCCAGAAGACCCCUACAAUGAGAGGCCUGGGGUCUGCAAGUUGCUGCUAGAAUUUUUUAAAGAAUGCAGCACCAAUACAGAUUUUAAGGUCCCUGGGCGCAUGCUGAACGCGCGUGGGCGGAUACGCCCUGCACUCCAGGUCGGGGCAGGGCGCUGCCAUAGCAACGUCCUGGACGCCCAGNAUCUUAGGCCGCCGCCGCCGCAGCAGCGGGGGUCAGGGACAUCUAGGCUCACGAGAGGAGUGGCGGACACGACACUGCUCCUCCCCUCCACCGCAAGCCUAGGAGGCGAACUGGCUUGCAAGCAUGCCCUUCCAGAAGCACGUCUACUACCCUCUGGCCAACAGCCCCGAGGGGCCCGACGCCUCUGCCGCAGGCGCGGCCCCCAUGGCCUUUGUCCCCCCCAGCGCGGCCUCCGGCCCCCUGCCCUUCUUUCAGUUUCGGCCGCGACUGGAGAGCGUGGACUGGAGGCGGCUGAGCGCCAUCGACGUGGACAAGGUUGCCGGCGCUGUGGACGUCCUGACCCUGCAGGAGAACAUCAUGAAUAUCACCUUCUGCAAGCUGGAGGACGAGAAGUGCCCGCACUGCCAGUCCGGGGUAGACCCAGUGCUGCUGAAGCUGAU
rnacentral:lncRNA from 1 species